rnacentral:rRNA from 1 species
ACGAACGCUGGCGGCAUGCCUAACACAUGCAAGUCGAACGAGACCUUCGGGUCUAGUGGCGCACGGGUGCGUAACGCGUGGGAACCUGCCCUUAGGUUCGGAAUAACUCCCCGAAAGGGGUGCUAAUACCGGAUAAUGUCUUCGGACCAAAGAUUUAUCGCCUUUGGAUGGGCCCGCGUUGGAUUAGCUAGUUGGUAGGGUAAAAGCCUACCAAGGCGACGAUCCAUAGCUGGUCUGAGAGGAUGAUCAGCCACACUGGGACUGAGACACGGCCCAGACUCCUACGGGAGGCAGCAGUGGGGAAUAUUGGACAAUGGGCGAAAGCCUGAUCCAGCAAUGCCGCGUGAGUGAUGAAGGCCUUAGGGUUGUAAAGCUCUUUUACUCGGGAUGAUAAUGACAGUACCGGGAGAAUAAGCGCCGGCUAACUCCGUG